rnacentral:rRNA from 1 species
UACGUAGGGACCGAGCGUUGUCCGGAUCAUUGGGCGUAAAGAGCGUGUAGGCGGCCACUUAAGUCCUGCGUGAAAUCUUGCGGCUCAACCGCAAGCGGUCGUGGGAAACUGGGUGGCUAGAGUGCGGGAGAGGAGAGUGGAAUUCCUGGUGUAGCGGUGGAAUGCGCAGAUAUCAGGAGGAACACCGAUGGCGAAGGCAGGUCACUGGGCCGCAACUGACGCUGAGGAGCGAAAGCAUGGGGAGCGAACAGG